UGAAUAUAUGCCUGUCCCUCAGUGCAGACCUUUCUCUCGACCACUUUGCCAUGAGGAGGUUCUACAACGACAAACUGUCCGCUCUGAUGACCCCCUCACAGAAACGGUAUGUUUGGAUGCUGGGGAGCAUGUUAAAAGGAGGACUGAGGAUUUGUCCCUCUCCAUCUUUCCUCCUCGGUGUUGUUCUUCACGGCCUUCCCAAAAUAAGACCAAAUGGAGGUCUCUGCCUCUUUCUGAGAGUCUACCAGAACCUACAAGCCGUCUGCACGUCGGCAGUUUACCAUGUUGCUGCAGGACAGACGGACCGGCUCUACUUUGUGCUCCAGCCGGCUCAGCUGCUCAAAGGGGACAUCAUGGUGGUUUGCUACGAUAAAGACAGCCGGUCAGCCAGCCGUCAGGUCGUCUUUCGUCUCCAGUUUCACACUGGCCUCGAACACGGACACACCCUCACUUUCUUGAAGGCAGACCUUGACUGUGCCAGUGAAGAUCCUCGGUUCCCAGAAGAUGGAAAAGUGGAGCUGUUGCUUUCCCAAAGUCCUGACAAGACCGCAGGCAGAGAGCUGUGGCACAACGGAGCCUCCGUGACCGUGGACUAUGACACCUUGGACCCCUUAGUGAGACGAGACUCCUACCAAGAAACGUCCCCCUGUGAAACAGCUGCACCUCAUGUCCUGGACCCCGGAAAUAUCAGCUUGUACGCCAGCGUGAGGAAGAGGAGCAGCGAGGAAGGAGUUUCGCUGCCCCCGACCACCGGCAGCUGCAGCGACCGAGCUCCGUCUGCCAGCAGUGAUUCAGGCCUGUCUGUUGCCUCCCAGGGGAGGACCGCGACCCGGCAGAGGACAGGGGUCGCACGGGACAAGUGCACCCGGGCAGGGAAGCUGCUCUCUGCGGUGGACUUUGAGAUCGCUCAGCCUCUUCUGGAGGUCAUGACUGAGCUGGCUGCGUGUGGUGGAGGGGAGGUGGAGAUGGUUGGAGGUGGGUCUGGACUGGGGCACCCCAUAAACGGAGAGGCGUCGUCCAGCGAGAGAGAGACUGAUAUACUGGACGAUGAGGAUGAACUAGCUGAUGUGGCAGCUUCUGCUUUAGACGUGCAGAGCUCGAGUAGCUUCUGCUCCCUGUCCUCAGAGAAUCUUCCCGAAACCCAGAGAUCGGCCCAAACUGAGUGCUCCACACACUACUGGGUGCGGCGGCAGCAGAUGGUGGAUGUCGUCUCUGAUAAUUACUUUGAAGUGGAUGCAGAGGAGAGGGCGAGCAGAGUGAGAAAAGAGAGGCAGCCGCCUCCGGUAGCUCCGGACACACCACUUCGAGGAUCCAGCAGCAGGGAAGCCGUGCAGAGAGGGCAGGUGGACGAGGACGGGACACGCAACCUCACGCAAAACGCUGCUAAUACACAUAACACACAGUCUGCUCACACCGCACACAAUUCGUCUCACCAAGAAGAUGAUUUGGCGUCGCUAACCACAGACAUCGAUGACUCCAUAGAGCAGCUGAACCAGCUGAUUCUGGAUUUGGACCCAACCUUUGUUCCCGUUCCCGUUCCUAGCCGCUGUGCCCCCCUGUCCCGCUCCGCCUCCCUCCACACCAACGGCGUCGGCCACGAGGGAAAUACGCAUCUGUCAGGGUGGAAGCAGCAGGGGCAGGCCAGCGACGUGACGGACCACGCUGGUCUACAUAGUCCAGGAUGGAGAGGGGGUGGACCUCAGACCUUCAGGGGCUCCCCGCUCAACAGUCCCUCUUUCUCACUGUCUCGGCAUUUGCAUCUCCACAAAGCGACCGGCGUGGACAAUCGGGGACAAGCGGAGAGCUCGGACAUCGUCCCACAAACUCCGGCCUUCCCAGUGUCUCCUCCGACGCCCUACGUGAAAAAUUUCUCCGAGUGUUCCCAGCUCGGGACUGGCGGGCAGUGGGACCAACACAGCUGGACACAAGAUGCCCGGAAUUUCCUGGACAGUAUGAACCACACCGGCGGCUCCACAGAGGGAAACCUGUUCAGAUCAGACGUGUCGGUCACUCCUUCUUCCUGUCAGAGGAUCUUCGGCUCCAUGUGCUCGGUGUCAUCAGGAAGCCCACUGCCACACACAGACAGCGCCACUCCUCCUCCAGUGUGGCAUGACCAGACUCCAAACGCCCUGAACUCCCCGUAUCUCCCCCAGCCCUCACCCCCCCUCUCCCUCAGCAAUCCAAAUGCCCACAGUUCUCCCCGGGGGGUUCCGAAAAGCCCGGGUGGAGGUCCGGGUGUCCGCAGAGAGACAGACAGCGCAGACUUGUCCUCAUUUCUGUUGGGGAACGGCGGCCUGGAUCACAGCCUGCUGGAGGCCGUGGAGGGGCUUGGGAGUUUGAACCUCGGGGGAGACGGGGGCCUCGCUCCGCUGCUGCCCGAGAAGAGGAGAUGGGGUGAGGGCGGAGAGCUUGGCUCCUGCUCCCCUUCUCUAAGCGGGUUUUCCAGCCCUCAUAGCGGCAGCAGUCUCAGCAUCCCUUUCUCGUCUUCGAUGACCCCGGACCCCCUUAGAGGACUCAGUGGGGCCCCGUCACCCGGAGCAGACUUUGGCAAUAAGCAGGACACUGUGAAGUUUGUUCAGGACACGUCCAAGUUCUGGUACAAGCCUGACAUUUCCAGAGACCAAGCCAUUGCGGUGCUAAAGGACAAAGAGCCGGGCUCGUUCAUUGUCAGAGACAGCCAUUCGUUUCGCGGCGCGUACGGGUUGGCUAUGAAGGUGGCAACUCCCCCUCCGUCUGUCUUACAACAGAGUAAGAAAGUAGGAGACCUGUCCAAUGAGCUGGUCAGACAUUUCCUGAUAGAGUGCACACAGAAAGGAGUUCGUCUUAAAGGCUGCCCCAAUGAGCCCUACUUUGGAAGUCUCACUGCUCUGGUGUGUCAGCACUCCAUCACCCCUCUGGCUCUGCCCUGUAAACUCAUCCUGCCCGACAAAGACCCAGUGGAGGAGCUGAAUGACUCAUCUGCACAAACAGCAACAAACUCAGCAGCUGAACUCCUCAAACAGGGAGCAGCGUGCAACGUCUGGUACCUGGGCUCCGUGGAGCUGGAGUCGUUGACGGGGCACCAGGCGGUUCAGAAGGCCACCACGACGACGCUCUCCAUGGACCCCCAGCCGGCCUCGACCGUCGUCCACUUCAAAGUGUCGGCACAGGGCAUCACGCUCACGGACAACCAGCGGAAGUUGUUCUUCAGGAGACACUACGCUGUCAACACCGUUAUAUUCUGUUCUCUGGACCCACAGGGCAGGAACUUCACAUCAAAACACACACAGUGACAGACGAUGCUGCUGAUUAGCUGACGGCCUCUCAGGCCAGAAAGCGCUCAUUUAUACGCAGGAGAAAACACGAGUAGACCAAACGGUUGAAGAAUGGAAGACUGUGAUUGUGUUGGAAGAGUGCUGGAAAAGGAAUUCGUGGCCACCGGAGUCAGUCAUGGUGAUACAGUGAUUUCUCUCUCAGGCAAAAUCUGAGAAAAGCACACCGUUGCUGCUCCUGUAGCAAUAAACCAGAGCUCAGAAUCUGCUUUUCCAAACACCUGGAGGCCUGUAUUAGUUGUCACACAAAGUCAUCAGUACAUAUUGUACAAGAUGAUUGCAUCAAUUGACCAAAAUUUGAAUACUUUAUAUCACUGUUAUUUGACACAUCCCAGUCCAUGACCAUGUUUUGACAGAAUCAUCAGAGAAGAUUGAAAUCACGAUGAUAUCCUAUCACUUUAUCACAGUCAGAGGAGAGAUAGUUUUUUAUGCAUUCAUAUUUCGUGUACGAUUAAUGCAUGUAUGUUAUGUAUGAAUGUGUAGAUUCGAAUGCCAGAAAUAGUCUUAUAACUUCCUAAUGUCACCCUGACUAAACAGAUGGACAAGAGGCAGCGGUUCCACUGCGAAGAUCUUUGGAUUUGUGGCCAGGAAAUCUCAGAGUGAGACCGAAAACAUGUGCCAUCUGUUUGCUGAGCACGACCCGGAG